GAUGAACGCUGGCGGCGUGCCUAAUACAUGCAAGUCGAGCGAACAGAUGAGGAGCUUGCUCCUCUGACGUUAGCGGCGGACGGGUGAGUAACACGUGGAUAACCUACCUAUAAGACUGGGAUAACUUCGGGAAACCGGAGCUAAUACCGGAUAAUAUAUUGAACCGCAUGGUUCAAUAGUGAAAGACGGUUUUGCUGUCACUUAUAGAUGGAUCCGCGCCGCAUUAGCUAGUUGGUAAGGUAACGGCUUACCAAGGCGACGAUGCGUAGCCGACCUGAGAGGGUGAUCGGCCACCCUGGAACUGAGACACGGUCCAGACUCCUACGGGAGGCAGCAGUAGGGAAUCUUCCGCAAAGGGCGAAAGCUUGACGGAGCAACGCCGCGUGAGUGAUGAAGGUCUUCGGAUCGUAAAACUCUGUUAUUAGGGAAGAACAAAUGUGUAAGUAACUAUGCACGUCUUGACGGUACCUAAUCAGAAAGCCACGGCUAACUACGUG
rnacentral:rRNA from 1 species